AUUGAACGCUGGCGGCAUGCCUUACACAUGCAGGUCGAACGGCAGCGCGGGAGCAAUCCUGGCGGCGAGUGGCGAACGGGUGAGUAAUAUAUCGGAACGUGCCCAGUAGUGGGGGAUAGCCCGGCGAAAGCCGGAUUAAUACCGCAUACGACCUACGGGUGAAAGGGGGGGAUCGCAAGACCUCUCGCUAUUGGAGCGGCCGAUAUCAGGUUAGGUAGUUGGUGGGGUAAAGGCCUACCAAGCCUGCGAUCUGUAGUUGGUCUGAGAGGACGACCAGCCACACUGGGACUGAGACACGGCCCAGACUCCUACGGGAGGCAGCAGUGGGGAAUUUUGGACAAUGGGCGCAAGCCUGAUCCAGCAAUGCCGCGUGCAGGAAGAAGGCCUUCGGGUUGUAAACUGCUUUUGUCAGGGAAGAAAUCCUCUAGGCUAAUACCUUGGGGGGAUGACGGUACCUGAAGAAUAAGCACCGGCUAACUACGUGCCAGCCGCCGCCGUAAAAC
rnacentral:rRNA from 1 species